rnacentral:rRNA from 1 species
GACGAACGCUGGCGGCGUGCUUAACACAUGCAAGUCGAACGAUGAAGCCGGAGCUUGCUCUGGUGAAUUAGUGGCGAACGGGUGAGUAACACGUGAGUAACCUGCCCUUGACUCUGGGAUAACUGCUAGAAAUGGUAGCUAAUACCGGAUACGACCCUCGGAGGCAUCUCCAGGGGGUGGAAAGAAUUUCGGUCAAGGAUGGACUCGCGGCCUAUCAGCUAGGUGGUGAGGUAAUGGCUCACCAAGGCGACGACGGGUAGCCGGGCUGAGAGGGUGAGCGGCCACACUGGGACUGAGACACGGCCCAGACUCCUACGGGGGGCAGCAGUGGGGAAUAUUGCGCAAUGGGCGCAGGCCUGAUGCGGCAACGCCGCGUGAGGGAUGACGGCCUUCGGGUUGUAAACCUCUUUUAGCAGGGAAGAAGCGAAAGUGACGGUACCUGCAGAAAAAGCACCGGCUAACUACGUGCCAGCAGCCGCCGUAA